CUUUGCUUUCACUUUCAUAUUGGGAAUUUGCAAUACGACUCGCAUAUUCUCUCUCGCUCUCUUUAAAAGCUUCGUCGCCGCCGUGUCUGGUUGCGCUUCUAUUCACCGGUAAGUAUUCCGAUCUCAGCAGCAACAUAUCGGAGAACACCCUAAAUUUAUCCUCUACCCUUCAAUUCUACGGUUUCUUCUUCUUCGCCGUCUCUAUUUGUCGUGUCUUAGAGUUUUCAAAUAUUAUAGAAAAAGGAAAAAAAAGGAAAAAAAAAUGAAAUUGAUUUUUAUUAGUUUUUAUCAGAUCUACUAUUGAGAUUUCAAUUAACUCGUUUUUUCUUCGAGCUAGGGUUUGUUGGGUUUCCUGAUUUUAUUUGUGAAAUUAAGGUUAGGGUUUAUAGGUGAAUUUAGGGUUUUAUUUGAUAUAGACGUUUACAUGGCUGCUGGAAGGCAUGGUGGUUACAGGGAUAAUGAAUUUAGGGGUCUUGAGGCGGAGUUUGAGGUUUCACGGAGGGAGGUUGGCUACGCAAAGGGGGAUUAUGAACGGAUUAGGAACGAGGAUCGGGAUUUUUAUAGGGAUCGAGUUCACGACCGGAGUAGUAGAUAUAGGGGUAGGUUGAGACAGAAGGAUGUAAAAGAAAGGGAUAUGAUGAAUGGGAGUUGUAGGUCCGUGUCAAGCAGGAGUGAUUCUGGUAGUAGUGAUGGCGGUGCUGGUGGAGCGAGGAGAAGUGGGCCAAGUGUCGGAGCUGUUGGCCGAGAGCUUAUAAAGGAAUGGGAUAUGAUGAAUGGCGGUUCUAGGUCCAUCUCGAGCAGGAGUGAUUCUGGUAGCAGUGAUGGUGAUGCGGCUGGAAUGAGGAGAAGUGGGUUUAGUAUCAGGGCUGUUGAUCGAGAGCCUGGGGAACUGUCCAGUGAGAGUGGGUCUGGGUCUGAUGGCGCUAUUGAAUCGGACCAGAAGACCAAGAAUGCCGACAAUGGGAACCAGUCUCCGGUACAAAGCAAGAAACGAAAAUUCUCUCCCAUUAUAUGGGAUAGGGAGGAUAAGGAAGUGAAUAGAAUGUCAAAGAGUAGAAAUUCACCAGCAGCUGCUAAGAUACCUCCUCCUCCUCUAUUGUCAAAGUCAUCUGGCCAGUUUGCUAAUCUCCCCUUCGAAAGGGUUGGACAGGUCUCUCUGUUGAACACUAAUAAUGUUCGCAGUACGGAGCCAUCUCCCAGUAAUCCAAGUACAGCUCUUGGUUCACAUAUGAAUGCAUCUGAAUCCCUAGUUGACAUACGUUCUCCACCUCCGAAUGAGGAGCAAUUGCCCAAUCAGGAAGCCAGGAAAGUAGAAGAUGAGGAAUAUGUGCCCGUGCCGACCAUAAGAUCAUCUCGAUGGGCAACUGAUGCUGACUCUCCAGCUGAUGGAGAGAUUUCAGGUGAUGAUAUGCCCCUAAUGAAGAAGCGCCGAGCAGUUUCCCAGUCAGCUGAAGUGGGUGGGCGCAGGAAAUCACUAACUCCAGAAUUUGGGGAGCUCAAGAGAGAAAGCUCGGGAGGAAAUAGAACAAGGUCCUCCGACUCUGAUGAACAUAUUAGGUCUUGCAGCAGAGAUAGUUACCAGGACAAUGAACUAGAUAAUAAUGACUUAAUGGAUGUGGAUAAGGACCGUAAUUAUGAUGGGACUAGUGUUAGCCUGUCAGAUACAGGAUCUGAAGAUGAACAUGAUUCUCGUGGUACACCAGAGCCUGCACUUCCUCCACAAAAGAGCGUAAACAUGCUGCAGGGGUGUAGAAGUGUGGAUGAAUUUGAGCGGCUUAACAGGAUAGAUGAAGGCACUUACGGUGUUGUUUACAGAGCUAAAGAUAAGAAGACAGGAGAAAUUGUUGCACUAAAGAAGGUUAAGAUGGAGAAGGAACGAGAAGGAUUCCCCCUGACAUCUCUAAGGGAGAUUAACAUUCUUCUUUCUAUUCAUCACCCCUCAGUUGUAGAUGUCAAAGAAGUAGUAGUAGGAAGCAGUCUUGACAGUAUUUUUAUGGUGAUGGAGUAUAUGGAACAUGAUCUGAAGGCAUUAAUGGAGACAAUGAAGCAACCAUUUAGCCAAAGUGAAGUCAAAUGUCUUAUGCUCCAGCUUUUGCACGGUAUCAAGUAUCUUCAUGAUAAUUGGGUCCUUCACCGAGAUCUGAAGACUUCAAAUUUGCUUCUAAACAACCGAGGUGAGCUGAAGAUAUGUGACUUUGGCUUAGCUCGUCAAUAUGGGAGCCCCUUGAAACCAUACACUCAUUUGGUGGUUACUUUGUGGUACAGGGCGCCAGAACUCCUGUUGGGAGCCAAGCAAUACUCUACUGCAAUUGACAUGUGGUCACUGGGUUGUAUCAUGGCUGAGUUGCUAUCCAAAGAACCGCUCUUCAAUGGGAAAACAGAAGUUGAUCAAAUUGACAAGAUAUUCAGAAUUCUUGGCACCCCAAAUGAGACUAUUUGGCCAGGGUUUUCCAAGCUUCCUGGGGUGAAGGUCAACUUUGUGAAGCACCAAUAUAAUAAUUUAAGAAAGAAAUUUCAGAAUGCUACAGCCUUCACGGGGUUACCAAUCCUAUCAGAGGCUGGCCUUGACCUGUUGAAUAAGCUUCUAACUUACGACCCUGAGAAGAGAAUAACUGCUGAUGCUGCUUUGAACCAUGAGUGGUUUCGUGAAGUUCCUCUCCCCAAAUCUAAAGAAUUCAUGCCUACUUUCCCUGCACAGCAUGCCCAAGAUAGGCGUGUGCGGAGAGUAAUGAAGAGUCCAGAUCCUCUCGAGGAGCAGCGAAGAAAGGAACUGAAGCAGGGGGUGUUAGGAACUGGUGGAUUGUUUGGCUAAGAUAAGUGAAUAGUGCUCAAUAACUGUUUAAUGCUCAUGGGUUGACAUGGUUGAGGUUAGAGUCAUGCACUGAAAGGAAGUUGCAAAAAGUGUUUGCUAGACGGUUGACGACCCUACUGGGCUCUGGCGUUUUAUCAAAAAUCUUUGAGACUGCUUGCAUGCAUGGCAGGGGUGCAUAGUGAGCUUACCUGUUAAGGAACACUUUCAAUUGAAACUCAUGUAUGUAACAUAUUUCCCAUUGGCAGUGUAAACGAUGCUCUUGAAAUUGGUUUUGUUACUUAAACAUAUGGAUUGUGGUUUCGUACUUUUAGCAUGUCGAUUUUAAUUUUCAUAUUCUGUUUGCAAGAGAUGGUGUAAAGCAGAUGGGGAAUUCUUAGCUUUUUCAUUGAUGAAGAAUUUCACUGAAACUAUUGCACAUA